GCCAGUGUAGCAUAGUAGUAAGGAUUAGGGCUUGAAACCAAAAGGUUGCUGGUUCGAUUCCACUCUGGGGCG